rnacentral:piRNA from 1 species
UAGAAAUCUGUAAAAAGCACA